CAGUCGCCACGGUAAUACGUAGGUGGCAAGCGUUGUCCGGAAUUAUUGGGCGUAAAGCGCGCGCAGGCGGCUUCCCAAGUCCCUCUUAAAAGUGCGGGGCUUAACCCCGUGAUGGGAAGGAAACUGGGAAGCUGGAGUAUCGGAGAGGAAAGUGGAAUUCCUAGUGUAGCGGUGAAAUGCGUAGAUAUUCGCAAGAACACCAGUGGCGAAGGCGGCUUACUGGCUCGAAACUGACGCUGAGGCGCGAAAGCGUGGGGAGCAAACAGGAUUAGAUACCCCUGUAGUCCCUGUCUCUUAUACA
rnacentral:rRNA from 1 species